rnacentral:rRNA from 1 species
GAUGAACGCUGACAGAAUGCUUAACACAUGCAAGUCAACUUGAAUUUGAGUUUUUAACUUAGGUUUGGGUGGCGGACGGGUGAGUAACGCGUAUAGAACUUGCCUCACAGCUAGGGACAACAUUUGGAAACGAAUGCUAAUACCUAAUAUUAUGAUAAUAGGGCAUCCUAUAAUUAUGAAAGCUAUAAGCGCUGUGAGAGAGCUUUGCGUCCCAUUAGCUAGUUGGAGAGGUAACGGCUCACCAAGGCGAUGAUGGGUAGCCGGCCUGAGAGGGUGAUCGGCCACAAGGGGACUGAGACACGGCCCUUACUCCUACGGGAGGCAGCAGUGGGGAAUAUUGGACAAUGGACCGAGAGUCUGAUCCAGCAAUUCUGUGUGCACGAUGAAGUUUUUCGGAAUGUAAAGUGCUUUCAGUUGGGAAGAAACAAAUGACGGUACCAACAGAAGAAGUGACGGCUAAAUACGUG